CACACUGCCGAGAAAAGCCUCUAGAUAGAAAAUAGGUGCCCGUACCGCAAACCGACACAGGUAGUCAAGAUGAGAAUUCUAAGGUGAGCGAGCGAACUCUCGUUAAGGAACUCGGCAAAAUGACCCCGUAACUUCGGGAGAAGGGGUGCUCUUUAGGGUUAACGCCCAGAAGAGCCGCAGUGAAUAGGCCCAAGCGACUGUUUAUCAAAAACACAGGUCUCUGCUAAACCGUAAGGUGAUGUAUAGGGGCUGACGCCUGCCCGGUGCUGGAAGGUUAAGAGGAGUGGUUAGCUUCUGCGAAGCUACGAAUCGAAGCCCCAGUAAACGGCGGCCGUAACUAUAACGGUCCUAAGGUAGCGAAAUUCCUUGUCGGGUAAGUUCCGACCCGCACGAAAGGCGUAACGAUUUGGGCACUGUCUCAACGAGAGACUCGGUGAAAUCAUAGUACCUGUGAAGAUGCAGGUUACCCGCGACAGGACGGAAAGACCCCGUGGAGCUUUACUGUAGCCUGAUAUUGAAAUUCGGCACAGCUUGUACAGGAUAGGUAGGAGCCUUUGAAACGUGAGCGCUAGCUUACGUGGAGGCGCUGGUGGGAUACUACCCUAGCUGUGUUGGCUUUCUAACCCGCACCACUUAUCGUGGUGGGAGACAGUGUCAGGCGGGCAGUUUGACUGGGGCGGUCGCCUCCUAAAAGGUAACGGAGGCGCUCAAAGGUUCCCUCAGAAUGGUUGGAAAUCAUUCAUAGAGUGUAAAGGCAUAAGGGAGCUUGACUGCGAGACCUACAAGUCGAGCAGGGUCGAAAGACGGACUUAGUGAUCCGGUGGUUCCGCAUGGAAGGGCCAUCGCUCAACGGAUAAAAGCUACCCCGGGGAUAACAGGCUUAUCUCCCCCAAGAGUUCACAUCGACGGGGAGGUUUGGCACCUCGAUGUCGGCUCAUCGCAUCCUGGGGCUGUAGUCGGUCCCAAGGGUUGGGCUGUUCGCCCAUUAAAGCGGUACGCGAGCUGGGUUCAGAACGUCGUGAGACAGUUCGGUCCCUAUCCGUCGUGGGCGUAGGAAAUUUGAGAGGAGCUGUCCUUAGUACGAGAGGACCGGGAUGGACAUACCUCUGGUGUACCAGUUGUCGUGCCAACGGCAUAGCUGGGUAGCUAUGUGUGGACGGGAUAAGUGCUGAAAGCAUCUAAGCAUGAAGCCCCCCUCAAGAUGAGAUUUCCCAACUUCGGUUAUAAGAUCCCUCAAAGAUGAUGAGGUUAAUAGGUUC
rnacentral:rRNA from 1 species